UAUCAGUCUUUUUAUUAUAUAUUUUUACGUGCACAUUUCAUCUAGUACCUGUAAAAUUUCCAAGCUGUUCUGAUAAUUAUAACGUACAUCAAACUUGUACCCAUAGGCUAUAAUGAUAUACAGCACAUGGCCGUGUGCCAUGUGUAGGUUUUUCUUCCGCCCGCCUCGAAUCUCUUUUGCGGAUCACUUGCGCGUUUCAGAUUGCUCGGGUAAAUUUGGAGAACGGUCAAUUAAUUAUUUAUAUAAUUUUUCGUUCGAUUUUCUCAUACUCG